GACGAACCGUGCGAACGUUAUUCGGAAUCACUGGGCUUAAAGCGCGUGUAGGCGGCCCGGCACGUCCGACGCUGAAAUCCCCCGGCUCAACCGGGGAACGGGCGCGGAUACGACCGGGCUGGAGGGGGGUAGGGGGCGCCGGAACUUCCGGUGGAGCGGUGAAAUGCGUUGAGAUCGGAAGGAACGCCCGUGGCGAAAGCGGGCGCCUGGACCAACACUGACGCUGAGACACGAAAGCGUGGGGAGCAAACAGG
rnacentral:rRNA from 1 species